rnacentral:rRNA from 1 species
GACGAACGCUGGCGGCGUGCCUAAUACAUGCAAGUCGAACGAGUUGCGCACGGGUGAGUAACGCGUGGUAACCUGCCUCAUAGGGGGGGAUAACUUUUGGAAACGAUAGCUAAUACCGCAUACCCUCCGAUGUGCCCCGAUGGGAUUAGCUUGUUGGUGGGGUAACGGCUCACCAAGGCGACGAUCCCUAGCUGGUCUGAGAGGAGGCCCAGCCACACUGGAACUGAGUCAAGGUCCAGACUCCUACGGGAGGCAGCAGUGGGGAAUAUUGCACAGUGGGCGCAAGCCUGAUGCCGCCAUGCCGCGUGUAUGAAGAAGGCCUUCGGGUUGUAAAGUACUUUCAGCGGGGAGGCGUUACCCGCAGAAGAAGCACCGGCUAACGCCGUGCCAGCAGCCGCGGUAAUUC